rnacentral:pre_miRNA from 21 species
UUUGUAUAAAAUUUUGAUUGUUGCUCAGAAAGCCGUGUCGAUUAAGCAAUUCGCUUUCGGGCAGUAAUCAAAGUCAAAUACAAC